GUCGUCAUGAUUCAGUAGUGCUUUCUUGAUGAGAAAACUGAGAGUCUGUGGCCCGGGUGGUAGAAGUCUACAGGUGGGUGAGUUACAGUGGAAACACGCAGUGCCCAUUUCUAGAGUUUCAAUGCUGCCACUUUGAAGCUGGAGCUGUGAACGUCUCUCCUGGGAGAUGAGUGCUCCUGACGCCCCUUCGCACCUGCUCGUUCACACAGCUCAAUCAUUCACACAUUCACUGCCGUGCUUCUGUGAACAUCUGUUGCAAAGCGAAUGAGGGGCAGUACAGCAGGAUACUGCUCUCCAACAGAGGUUCGUUUACAGUAUAAAGACGGAGCUGCAGUGAGUACGAAUGUGUUGUACCAGAGAUUACAGCCAAGAAGCCACGUACAUGCUGCUUAUGAGUUUCACAUGUAAAUAACUAACCCGAGGAAAAAGUAGGGACACGUCCACAUUUAUCUGCACUUAAACUGGAUAAAAUGACCUACAGGUGUAUGACAUCAGGUGCAAGUUAUUAGAACAUUGUUACAGAGCAUUUUGAAGAAGGCUUGUCUUAUUUACACCUCAGAUAUUUAGUUUGGUUUGCACUUAAUUGUUGAACUGAGAGCUAUCACCAUGGUGAGAUCCAAAGAGCUCUCUGAGGCCUUCAGAAAGAAAAUUGUUGAGGCUUAUGAGUCUGGUAAGGGAUAUAAAAUGAUCUCAAAAGAACUUGUAAUUCACCCCAUGAGCAGACUGCAAGAGGCUUAAAGAAGUCACCAAAAACCCUAAAAUAUCAUUACGGGACCUAUAGCAAGCUCUUGUUACUUGUUAAAUGUGCUUUGAACAGAUGAGUCUAUAAUUUUAUUUUUUUGGACACCAUAACAAAAUAGAGCAUUUCAGCAAAAGAACCUCAUACCAACUGUGAAACAUGGAGGUGGAAAUGUUAUGGUUUGGGGAUGCUUUGCUGCAGAAGGACCUUUCCAGCUCAUCAUCAUAGAAUCCACUAUGAAUUCUUCUAUUAUAUCAGAAGGUGCUUGAAGAUCAUGUGUACGG